CCUACGGGAGGCAGCAGUGAGGAAUAUUGGUCAAUGGGAGAGAUCCUGAACCAGCCAAGCCGCGUGAGGGAAGACGGCCCUAUGGGUUGUAAACCUCUUUUGUCGGAGAACAAAACCCGGGACGUGUCCCGGACUGCGUGUAUCCGAAGAAAAAGCAUCGGCUAACUCCGUGCCAGAAGCCGCGGUAAUACGGGGGAUGGGAGCGUUAUCGGGAUUUAUUGGGUUAAAGGGGUGCGUAGGCGGUCCGUUAAGUCAGCGGUAAAAUUGCGGGGCUCAACCCCGUCGAGCCGUUGAAACUGGCAGACUUGAGUUGGCGAGAAGUACGCGGAAUGCGCGGUGUAGCGGUGAAAUGCAUAGAUAGCGCGCAGAACUCCGAUUGCGAAGGCAGCGUACCGGCGCCAGACUGACGCUGAGGAACGAAAGCGUGUGGAGCGAACAGGAUUAGAUACCCGAGUAGUC
rnacentral:rRNA from 1 species